rnacentral:rRNA from 1 species
UUAAGCGACCAAGCGUACACGGUGGAUGCCCUGGCAGUCAGAGGCGAUGAAGGACGUGCUAAUCUGCGAUAAGCGCCGGUAAGGUGAUAUGAACCGUUAUAACCGGCGAUUUCCGAAUGGGGAAACCCAGUGUGACUCGUCACACUAUCAUUAUGUGAAUACAUAGCGUAAUGAAGCGAACCGGGGGAACUGAAACAUCUAAGUACCCCGAGGAAAAGAAAUCAACCGAGAUUCCCCCAGUAGCGGCGAGCGAACGGGGAGGAGCCCAGAGCCUGAAUCAGCAUGUGUGUUAGUGGAAGCGUCUGGAAAGGCGUGCGAUACAGGGUGACAGCCCCGUACACAAAAGCGCACAUGUUGUGAGCUCGAUGAGUAGGGCGGGACACGUGGUAUCCUGUCUGAAUAUGGGGGGACCAUCCUCCAAGGCUAAAUACUCCUGACUGACCGAUAGUGAACCAGUACCGUGAGGGAAAGGCGAAAAGAACCCCGGCGAGGGGAGUGAAACAGAACCUGAAACCGUGUACGUACAAGCAGUGGGAGCCCCACCACUAAGCCAGUGGUGAGUUCCAUGAUGCAUCCUUUGCAGAAGAUGCGGUUAACGGAGCGAAAGCGACGUUCAACCUCAAAAGAAGCAGAGGGGGCUUAGUGGUGGGGUGACUGCGUACCUUUUGUAUAAUGGGUCAGCGACUUAUAUUCUGUAGCAAGGUUAACCGUAUAGGGGAGCCGAAGGGAAACCGAGUCUUAACCGGGCGUUAAGUUGCAGGGUAUAGACCCGAAACCCGGUGAUCUAGCCAUGGGCAGGUUGAAGGUUGGGUAACACUAACUGGAGGACCGAACCGACUAAUGUUGAAAAAUUAGCGGAUGACCUGUGGCUGGGGGUGAAAGGCCAAUCAAACCGGGAGAUAGCUGGUUCUCCCCGAAAGCUAUUUAGGUAGCGCCUCGUGAACUCAUCUCCGGGGGUAGAGCACUGUUUCGGCUAGGGGGCCAUCCCGGCUUACCAACCCGAUGCAAACUGCGAAUACCGGAGAAUGUUAUCACGGGAGACACACGGCGGGUGCUAACGUCCGUCGUGAAGAGGGAAACAACCCAGACCGCCAGCUAAGGUCCCAAAGUCAUGGUUAAGUGGGAAACGAUGUGGGAAGGCCCAGACAGCCAGGAUGUUGGCUUAGAAGCAGCCAUCAUUUAAAGAAAGCGUAAUAGCUCACUGGUCGAGUCGGCCUGCGCGGAAGAUGUAACGGGGCUAAACCAUGCACCGAAGCUGCGGCAGCGACACUGUGUGUUGUUGGGUAGGGGAGCGUUCUGUAAGCCUGCGAAGGUGGCCUGUGAGGGUUGCUGGAGGUAUCAGAAGUGCGAAUGCUGACAUAAGUAACGAUAAAGCGGGUGAAAAGCCCGCUCGCCGGAAGACCAAGGGUUCCUGUCCAACGUUAAUCGGGGCAGGGUGAGUCGACCCCUAAGGCGAGGCCGAAAGGCGUAGUCGAUGGGAAACGGGUUAAUAUUCCCGUACUUGGUGUUACUGCGAAGGGGGGACGGAGAAGGCUAUGUUGGCCGGGCGACGGUUGUCCCGGUUUAAGCAUGUAGGCGGAUGUUCCAGGUAAAUCCGGAACGUUACUAACGCUGAGGUGUGAUGACGAGGCACUACGGUGCUGAAGCAACAAAUGCCCUGCUUCCAGGAAAAGCCUCUAAGCAUCAGGUAACAUCAAAUCGUACCCCAAACCGACACAGGUGGUCAGGUAGAGAAUACCAAGGCGCUUGAGAGAACUCGGGUGAAGGAACUAGGCAAAAUGGUGCCGUAACUUCGGGAGAAGGCACGCUGACACCUAGGUGAAGUGGUUUACCCAUGGAGCUGAAGUCAGUCGAAGAUACCAGCUGGCUGCAACUGUUUAUUAAAAACACAGCACUGUGCAAACACGAAAGUGGACGUAUACGGUGUGACGCCUGCCCGGUGCCGGAAGGUUAAUUGAUGGGGUCAGCGCAAGCGAAGCUCCUGAUCGAAGCCCCGGUAAACGGCGGCCGUAACUAUAACGGUCCUAAGGUAGCGAAAUUCCUUGUCGGGUAAGUUCCGACCUGCACGAAUGGCGUAAUGAUGGCCAGGCUGUCUCCACCCGAGACUCAGUGAAAUUGAACUCGCUGUGAAGAUGCAGUGUACCCGCGGCAAGACGGAAAGACCCCGUGAACCUUUACUAUAGCUUGACACUGAACAUUGAGCCUUGAUGUGUAGGAUAGGUGGGAGGCUUUGAAGCGUGGACGCCAGUCUGCGUGGAGCCGACCUUGAAAUACCACCCUUUAAUGUUUGAUGUUCUAACGUGGACCCGUGAUCCGGGUUGCGGACAGUGUCUGGUGGGUAGUUUGACUGGGGCGGUCUCCUCCUAAAGAGUAACGGAGGAGCACGAAGGUUGGCUAAUCCUGGUCGGACAUCAGGAGGUUAGUGCAAUGGCAUAAGCCAGCUUGACUGCGAGCGUGACGGCGCGAGCAGGUGCGAAAGCAGGUCAUAGUGAUCCGGUGGUUCUGAAUGGAAGGGCCAUCGCUCAACGGAUAAAAGGUACUCCGGGGAUAACAGGCUGAUACCGCCCAAGAGUUCAUAUCGACGGCGGUGUUUGGCACCUCGAUGUCGGCUCAUCACAUCCUGGGGCUGAAGUAGGUCCCAAGGGUAUGGCUGUUCGCCAUUUAAAGUGGUACGCGAGCUGGGUUUAGAACGUCGUGAGACAGUUCGGUCCCUAUCUGCCGUGGGCGCUGGAGAACUGAGGGGGGCUGCUCCUAGUACGAGAGGACCGGAGUGGACGCAUCACUGGUGUUCGGGUUGUCAUGCCAAUGGCACUGCCCGGUAGCUAAAUGCGGAAGAGAUAAGUGCUGAAAGCAUCUAAGCACGAAACUUGCCCCGAGAUGAGUUCUCCCUGAGACUAUAAGUCUCCUGAAGGAACGUUGAAGACGACGACGUUGAUAGGCCGGGUGUGUAAGCGCAGCGAUGCGUUGAGCUAACCGGUACUAAUGAACCGUGAGGCUUAACCUU